CGCGGAUCCAGGGAGCCGGGAGGGAGAGGGCCGGCGGCGGGGCGGGGCGCCCCUCGCGCCCCCUGCAGGCGCCCGGCCCCGGGGAGCCGGCCCUCCUAGCUAUGCCCGCCCGCCGCCCCCGACCCCCGACCCCUCGGGCCGCCCCUGCUGCGGGCUGCUGCGAACCGGGCUGGCGGGACGCGGGGGAGGCGCACGGCGCGGCGCGGGGAGCGGCCAGGUGCUCCAGCAUGGAUGAAUUACAUCAUUACUCUAGGCCUGGAGGACACCUAAUGAGCGUACACAGGAUGUGAAUGAAGACUGGCGGAACUUUUAAGAUGUGCUGUCCUACUGCGGGGAAGAUAAGUUGAAACACCACUGGCAACAGCCACGAGUUUCUCUGGGCUAAAGUGACAUAGGAAUGAUGGGAGAAAAUUAUACUCUUGCAAUGUAUUCCAUAAAUAAUUGAAAUCAAGAUUCCAGGGCAUGGAAACCCUGAGAAAUAAAGAAUCAUUAAUGUCCAUUCUCUCACUCAGCGCUAAACAACAAAAAAACAGCAGCAAGAAAAUGUGAUCCUGGCACCUACAUCAUCAUUUUCCUUAUUUCUGUCACUGCCUGUCAUCUUGAGCAAACUAUUUAAAAUUUUUGAAUCUCACCUUACUCACGGGCUCAGAAAACAUCUUGGAUGAUGGGGCAGAAAGAAUAUAAAAGCUGGCAGAUGGAGAAAAGAGCUGUGAAAUACUGAAUCAUGGGCAUGAAAAGGCCAUUACACACACCACUUCAAAGCAGCCAUGGUUACCUGCAUAAGAUCAAGCCAGUAAACGUUCCAGCAUGGAUCAGGGAGAGGACCAUCAUGUGCCACCCUUUGGAAGGCGCUAUUGGCAGGCGAUGGCUGCUAAAGGAGGGAGAAGCAUUCCCCCUUGGGGGCACAUGAUUGAUGGGUUUCCGAUGCUCCAGUAGAUGCAUCCCAUACCCAUACACAAACAGGAGGCACUCAUCGGGUUCAAGAAAUUAUUAAUGAUGAAAAAAGAACAACAUGAAGUUGGCAAGAUGAUGGAGUGGAGAACACUUGAGGGAGGUCGUGGUCUUACAGAUAGUAACUUAUUAAACGAUGACGUGGGAGAAGCCGAUGACCUGCUGUUUCUGAUGAGGAAAGCAGGCUGUGGAAAAAGCCCAUAUGGAGACAUGUGACAUGGAAGGACACCACUGAGAGAACACUAUUCAUUCACAGUGACCAUCCCUGGCAUUUAGCGACAGGCCAGUUCUCCCCUACAUUUGACAGGGUUGUCUGUGUUUUCUUCUUUAGGCGCUUGAGACUUGCCUCGUUAAUAGAAAUACAGUUGAAAAAAAGCAGAAACAUCCAGGCGUGUUGGCCCAGGCCUUUCACCUCUGUCCUCAGUAGGCAGAGGCAGGCAGAUCCCCUCGAUGCAGAGUCUAACCUACUCUGCAUAGUCAGUUCGUCCUGGCAUACCACAAACUAUGACGAACAAAAACCUUUCCCAAACUAACAAACCAAUAGAAUUCCACAAAACCAGAAACGACAUUUUAAAAGUCCCUCAUUAUCAAUCAGUGGCAGAGGCCUUUAAAACCUAAUUGUUUAUGAUUUUCAUUUGAAACACGGGUGGAGUUGUUUUUUUUUUCCUUAUAAAAUGUAAACAUCCCUCAACGAAGAAACAUUCCCUUCAAUUACGUUUACUUGCAAUGGGAUGAGUUGCUCAUUUGGAGGGUCAUUUUCAUGUGAAGUCUGUGAAGAUGUGCGGUGUAUGUAAUUAAUGGCCUGUGCUAUAGUUUGCUGGGCACGUGGCUGACCAAUGGCUGAUCAACUGCAUGUUUAUAUGCUGGGGCCCCUGGUUCAGUCUUAGGGACUUAUGCGCGUUGUAUGUGUUCAUGGGUAUCUUGCAUGAACACGUGUGUACACACAGACUGCUUAAUAAAUAGGAAAAGAGUUUAAAAUUCCAAGUCAGAUAUCUCCAGACCUCUAGUUUAGAUUCUACCGCAUACCAACUCUGUCUUCCUCCACUUUAUUUUUUAUUUAUUUGGGGACAUGUCGCUGUAUCUAAGAACAGAGGACCUACAGGGUGGCUCACAGCUGCCUGGAACUCUAGUCUUACUGGAUCCACCAUCCUCUUCUGACUUCUGUGGGCAUUGCAUGCAUGUGCUGCCCAGACAUACAUGCAGCCGAAACACCAAAACCCAUACAAAUAACACAUAAAUAAAAUGUUAACAAUAUUCUCCCUCCAA